GCCAGCAGCCAUAUCACCCUGCAACUCACAACUGGCAGCCCACUGAAAAUCAACAGGUGUGAGCCUGGUCAGUACCUGGAUGGGAGACCUGCUGGGAAAGCUAAGGUUGCUGCUGGAG
rnacentral:rRNA from 1 species